rnacentral:rRNA from 1 species
UUCCGGUUGAUCCUGCCGGACCCCACUGCUAUCGGGAUAGGACUAAGACAUGCUAGUCAAGCGCUUUCUAGCUAAUAUGAAAGUGCGGCAUACAGCUCAGUAACACGUGGCUAACCUGCCCUUGGGACGGAGACACCCCCGGGAAACUGGGGUUAAUUUCCGAUAGGUGAAAAAUUCUGGAAUGAAUUUUCGCUCAAAAGAGGUUUAUGUUAUGCUCAUAUUCUUCGCCCAGGGAUGGGGCCGCGACCGAUCAGGUUGUUGGUGAGGUAAUGGCUCACCAAGCCUUUUACCGGUACGGGCCGUGAGAGCGGGAGCCCGGAGAUGGGCACUGAGACAAGGGCCCAGGCCCUACGGGGCGCAGCAGUCGCGAAAACUUUGCAAUACACGAAAGUGUGACAAGGCUAUCCCGAGUGCCAUCCGCUGAGGAAGGCUUUUACCCAGUAUAAAUAGCUGGGAGAAUAAGGAGAGGGCAAGUCUGGUGUCAGCCGCCGCGGUAAUACCAGCUCUCCGAGUAGUGUGGAUGUUUAUUGGGCCUAAAGCAUCCGUAGCUUGCUAGGCAAGUCCCCUGUUAAAUCCACCGAUUCAAUCGAUGGUUUGCGGGGGAUACUGUUUGGCUAGGGGACGGGAGAGGUCGACGGUAUUUCCGGGGUAGGGGUGAAAUCCUAUAAUCCCGGGAGGACCACCAGUGGCGAAGGCUGUCGACUAGAACGCGCCCGACGGUGAGGGAUGAAAGCUGGGGGAGCGAACCGGAUUAGAUACCCGGGUAGUCCAGCUGUAACGAUGCGGUAAGGGUGUUUGGGGGCCACGAGCCGCCCUAGUGCCGCAGGGAAGCUGUUAAGCCUGCCGCCUGGGGAGUACGGCCGCAGGCUGAAACUUAAAGGAAUUGGCGGGGGAGCACCACAAGGGGUGAAGCUUGCGGUUCAAUUGGAUUCAACGCCGGA